rnacentral:rRNA from 1 species
GGUGGAUGCCUUGGCACUAGAAGGCGAUGAAGGACGUGACUAACUACGAUAUGCCUCGGUUAGCUGUAAGUAAGCUUACCCGGGGGUUUCCGAAUGGGGCAACCCGAUCUUAAUGAUCAUCAUCUUUUUGAAUUCAUAGAUUAGAUGAAGCAAACGCUGUGAACUGAAACAUCUAAGUAGCAGUAGGAAAGUAAAGAAAUUUCGAUUCCGUCAGUAGCGGCGAGCGAACGCGGAAGAGCCCAAACCUGGAUGCUUGCAUCCAGGGGUUGUAGGACUGAUGUUGAGUUACAAAGGUAUAAGAUAGCAGAAACAGUUGGGAAGCUGUUCCAAAGAGGGUGACAGGCCCGUAUGCGAAAUCUUGUACUCUCUAAUCAGGAUCCUGAGUACGGCCCAGCACGUGAAAUUGGGUCGGAAUCUGGGAGGACCAUCUCCCAAGGCUAAAUACUAACUAGUGACCGAUAGCGAACAAGUACCGUGAGGGAAAGGUGAAAAGAACCCCGGAAGGGGAGUGAAAUAGUUCUUGAAACCGUGUGCUUACAAGAAGUUCGAGGCCGUUAAUGGCUGAGAGCGUGCUUUUUGUAGAAUGAACCGGAGAGUUACGAUUGCGUGCAAGGUUAAGGUGCAAAGACUGGAGCCGUAGCGAAAGCGAGUCUUAAUAGGGCGAAUCAGUAC